rnacentral:rRNA from 1 species
UACGUAGGGGGCAAGCGUUAUCCGGAUUUACUGGGUGUAAAGGGAGCGUAGACGGCAGGGCAAGUCUGGAGUGAAAGGCAGGGGCCCAACCCCUGGACUGCUCUGGAAACUGUCCGGCUGGAGUGCAGGAGAGGUAAGUGGAAUUCCUAGUGUAGCGGUGAAAUGCGUAGAUAUUAGGAGGAACAUCAGUGGCGAAGGCGGCUUACUGGACUGUAACUGACGUUGAGGCUCGAAAGCGUGGGGAGCAAACAGG